rnacentral:rRNA from 1 species
UCAACCGAGAUUCCCCCAGUAGCGGCGAGCGAACGGGGAGCAGCCCAGAGUCUGAAUCAGCUUGUGUGUUAGUGGAACGGUCUGGAAAGUCCGACGGUACAGGGUGAUAGUCCCGUACACCAAAAUGCACAGGUUGUGAACUCGAAGAGUAGGGCGGGACACGUGGUAUCCUGUCUGAAUAUGGGGGGACCAUCCUCCAAGGCUAAAUACUCCUGACUGACCGAUAGUGAACCAGUACCGUGAGGGAAAGGCGAAAAGAACCCCGGCGAGGGGAGUGAAAAAGAACCUGAAACCGUGUACGUACAAGCAGUGGGAGCACCUUCGGGUGUGACUGCGUACCUUUUGUAUAAUGGGUCAGCGACUUAUAUUCUGUAGCAAGGUUAACCGUAUAGGGGAGCCGCAGGGAAACCGAGUCUUAACUGGGCGUUAAGUUGCAGGGUAUAGACCCGAAACCCGGUGAUCUAGCCAUGGGCAGGUUGAAGGUUGGGUAACACUAACUGGAGGACCGAACCGACUAAUGUUGAAAAAUUAGCGGAUGACUUGUGGCUGGGGGUGAAAGGCCAAUCAAACCGGGAGAUAGCUGGUUCUCCCCGAAAGCUAUUUAGGUAGCGCCUCGUGAACUCAUCUUCGGGGGUAGAGCACUGUUUCGGCUAGGGGGUCAUCCCGACUUACCAACCCGAUGCAAACUACGAAUACCGAAGAAUGUUAUCACGGGAGACACACGGCGGGUGCUAACGUCCGUCGUGAAGAGGGAAACAACCCAGACCGCCAGCUAAGGUCCCAAAGUCAUGGUUAAGUGGGAAACGAUGUGGGAAGGCACAGACAGCCAGGAUGUUGGCUUAGAAGCAGCCAUCAUUUAAAGAAAGCGUAAUAGCUCACUGGUCGAGUCGGCCUGCGCGGAAGAUGUAACGGGGCUAAACCAUGCACCGAAGCUGCGGCAGCGACACUAUGUGUUGUUGGGUAGGGGAGCGUUCUGUAAGCCUGCGAAGGUGUGCUGUGAGGCAUGCUGGAGGUAUCAGAAGUGCGAAUGCUGACAUAAGUAACGAUAAAGCGGGUGAAAAGCCCGCUCGCCGGAAGACCAAGGGUUCCUGUCCAACGUUAAUCGGGGCAGGGUGAGUCGACCCCUAAGGCGAGGCCGAAAGGCGUAGUCGAUGGGAAACAGGUUAAUAUUCCUGUACUUGGUGUUACUGCGAAGGGGGGACGGAGAAGGCUAUGUUAGCCGGGCGACGGUUGUCCCGGUUUAAGCAUGUAGGCUGAUUGUCCAGGCAAAUCCGGAUAAUCAAGGCUGAGGUGUGAUGACGAGGCACUACGGUGCUGAAGUAACAAAUGCCCUGCUUCCAGGAAAAGCCUCUAAGCAUCAGGUAACAUUAAAUCGUACCCCAAACCGACACAGGUGGUCAGGUAGAGAAUACCAAGGCGCUUGAGAGAACUCGGGUGAAGGAACUAGGCAAAAUGGUGCCGUAACUUCGGGAGAAGGCACGCUGGUGUGUAGGUGAAGUCCCUGCGGAUGGAGCUGAGACCAGUCGAAGAUACCAGCUGGCUGCAACUGUUUAUUAAAAACACAGCACUGUGCAAACACGAAAGUGGACGUAUACGGUGUGACGCCUGCCCGGUGCCGGAAGGUUAAUUGAUGGGGUUAUCCGUAAGGAGAAGCUCUUGAUCGAAGCCCCGGUAAACGGCGGCCGUAACUAUAACGGUCCUAAGGUAGCGAAAUUCCUUGUCGGGUAAGUUCCGACCUGCACGAAUGGCGUAAUGAUGGCCAGGCUGUCUCCACCCGAGACUCAGUGAAAUUGAACUCGCUGUGAAGAUGCAGUGUACCCGCGGCAAGACGGAAAGACCCCGUGAACCUUUACUAUAGCUUGACACUGAACAUUGAGCCUUGAUGUGUAGGAUAGGUGGGAGGCUUUGAAGCGUGGACGCCAGUCUGCGUGGAGCCAACCUUGAAAUACCACCCUUUAAUGUUUGAUGUUCUAACGUUGGCCCCUUACCGGGGUUGCGGACAGUGUCUGGUGGGUAGUUUGACUGGGGCGGUCUCCUCCCAAAGCGUAACGGAGGAGCACGAAGGUUAGCUAAUCCUGGUCGGACAUCAGGAGGUUAGUGCAAUGGCAUAAGCUAGCUUGACUGCGAGCGUGACGGCGCGAGCAGGUGCGAAAGCAGGUCAUAGUGAUCCGGUGGUUCUGAAUGGAAGGGCCAUCGCUCAACGGAUAAAAGGUACUCCGGGGAUAACAGGCUGAUACCGCCCAAGAGUUCAUAUCGACGGCGGUGUUUGGCACCUCGAUGUCGGCUCAUCACAUCCUGGGGCUGAAGUAGGUCCCAAGGGUAUGGCUGUUCGCCAUUUAAAGUGGUACGCGAGCUGGGUUUAGAACGUCGUGAGACAGUUCGGUCCCUAUCUGCCGUGGGCGCUGGAGAAUUGAGGGGGGCUGCUCCUAGUACGAGAGGACCGGAGUGGACGCAUCACUGGUGUUCGGGUUGUCAUGCCAAUGGCACUGCCCGGUAGCUAAAUGCGGAAGAGAUAAGUGCUGAAAGCAUCUAAGCACGAAACUUGCCCCGAGAUGAGUUCUCCCUGAGACUUUAAGUCUCCUGAAGGAACGUUGAAGACGACGACGUUGAUAGGCCGGGUGUGUAAGCGCAGCGAUGCGUUGAGCUAACCGGUACUAAUGAACCGUGAGGCUUAACCUU